rnacentral:rRNA from 1 species
UUGACCUCGGAUCAGGUAGGGAUACCCGCUGAACUUAAGCAUAUCAAUAAGCGGAGGAAAAGAAACCAACAGGGAUUGCCUCAGUAACGGGAAGGAAGCGGCAACAGCUCAAAUUGAAAUCUGCCUUUG